UUUACUUGUUCUUAUACAUAAUUUCUUGAACUUAUAAGAUUCAGCUUUGAAGAGUGAAUAUUAAUUUUCAUGUGCUGAUUGAAGCUAAGUCCUUGUUUUAAGUUUUAAGUUUAUCCCUAAAUGACCACACGAAAUUGUAAUUGCAAUGACUGAGUUCUAUGCUACCUUAUGGCUGCCCAGGGGUAUUUUGGUUACUUAAUUAAGAAUGUUAAUGCAAGUAAGAAAACCAAAGAAUGGCUUGUUAAUACUCUGCCAUUUGGUUAUUUAGAAAAUGUCAUUUUGGAAAAAAUCAUUUACUUUGAAUUUGGUAGACAAGCUGUAAAAACCUAAUGAAUUAUUAAACCCUUGCAAUUGAAUUGAAUGUGUUUCCUUCGUUAUAUGAUUGAAUAUGAAUGUGAAUAUAAUGAUUUUUCUUUGGUUAUGUGAAUCAUGUUUUUUGAUAUAUGUAUCUUGUGUUUGGGGAAUCUCUUUGAGGUAGGAUUAGGAUUUCCUUGAUUUUGAGAGCUAGGUUUUUGAGAUGUAUGUAUAAGUUUAUGCUAAGGUAGAAUUAAUAAUAAUAAGCUUUGAUAUUUGGUAUAGGUAUUACCAGCGCCCAAGUCUGAGCUCCUUCGACCUUAGGCUCUUGAUUCCUCUGCUUUCAGGUUUUAUUCUAGAGCAAAGAGAUCCUUAGUUGAGUUUUGGGAGGAACUGUUUUUAGCUUUAAAAGUAUAGCCCCUAUUUUGGAAGUUUGAUGCUUAGCUUUGUAGUAUUGUGUAUUUUAGGAUCUAAUGAAAGUUGUGUACUUUAAUAUAUUAAGAGAUGUAUUAUGUGAAAUUCCAAAAUGAAUAACUGGUGGAUUAAGUUAUCCCUUGGAGUACAAUGUAAAUGCUCUGAAUAUCAAGUGAAAAAUUAUAUAUUAAAGUAAAGAAACAACAAUGAAAAGAAAGAGGAAAGCUUUUGUUUAAAA